rnacentral:rRNA from 1 species
UACGAAAGGAGCAAGUGUUAUUCAGAUUAACUGGGCGUAAAGGGCACGUAGGUGGUUUGUUUAUGUGUAUUAUUAAAUUAUAAAGCAUAACUUUAUAAUGUAGUAUAAACAGCAAAACUAGAGUUAGGUAGAGAGUAGUAGAAUUUCUAAUGUAAAGGUGAAAUUUGAUAAAAUUAGAGAGAAUACCAGUGGCGAAGGCGGCUUACUGGUCCGGAUCUGACGCUGAGGCGCGAAAGCGUGGGGAGCAAACAGG